GGCUGGUUGGCUCAGCUGGUUAGAGCAUGGUGCUGGUAACACCAAGGUCCAGGAUUCGAGCCCCAUACUGGCCA